rnacentral:piRNA from 1 species
GAUUAAGUGUCUUUUAGGUCCCUGGUC